GCGGACGGUGGCGGCGUGGAUUAGGCAUGCAAGUCGAACGAGAAAGGCCGCAAGGCCGAGUAAAGUGGCGGACGGGUGAGUAAUGUAUGGACAAUCUACCUUCGAGAUGGGGAUAACAGCUGGAAACGGCUGCUAAUACCCAGUGGCUCCGGUAGCGGGCAUCCGCGGCCGGAUAAAGGGGGGCAACUCCCGCUCGGAGACGAGUCCAUAUCCCAUCAGCUAGUUGGCGGGGUAAUGGCCCACCAAGGCGAUGACGGGUAGGCGGACUGGGAGGUCGACCGCCCACAUCGGGACUGAGACACUGCCCGGACUCCUACGGGAGGCUGCAGUCGAGAAUCUUCCGCAAUGGGCGCAAGCCUGACGGAGCGACGCCGCGUGUAGGAUGAAGGCCUUCGGGUUGUAAACUACUGUCACUCGUGAAGAACGUCCACUCCAACCAAGUGGGCUGACGUUAGCGAGAGAGGAAGUCACGGCUAACUUCG
rnacentral:rRNA from 1 species